rnacentral:rRNA from 1 species
AAGUGAAACGCCGUAGCGCCGAUGGUAGUGUGGGGUCUCCCCAUGCGAGAGUAGGACACUGCCAGGU